rnacentral:piRNA from 1 species
UGCAUCUUUUACUAUGAACUUGACUUUGAUGU